GCACGUAGUUAGCCGGACCUUACAAAUAGUACCGUCAUUUAUUCUUCCUAUUCUUACGAAGUUUACAUCCCGAAAGACUUCAUCCUUCACGCGGCGUUGCUGGGUCAGGCUUUCGCCCAUUGCCCAAAAUUCCCGACUGCUGCCUCCCGUAGGAGUCUGACCCGUUAUUCAGUGUCAGUGUGUCCGACCGUCCUCUUAGACCGGAUACAGAUCGUAGCCUUGGUAAGCCAUUACCUUACCAACAAGCUAAUCUGCCGCAAGCUCCUCUUCAAGCGAUAAAUCUUUAACAACUGUCAUCAUUAGAUGCCGCUGCAUUAUGCGGUAUUAGCGUCCGUUUCCGAACGUUAUUCCCCACUCGAAGGUAGAUUACUUACGUGUUACUCACCCGUACGCCGCUUUAUAUCUUUCCCGAAGGAAAGUUUAAUCGCUCGACUUGCAUGUCUGAGGCACGCCGCCAGCGUUGAUU
rnacentral:rRNA from 1 species